UACAGAGGGGGCAAGCGUUGUUCGGAAUUACUGGGCGUAAAGGGCGCGUAGGCGGCCUGCUAAGUCGAACGUGAAAUCCCUGGGCUCAACCCAGGAACUGCGUCGGAUACUGGAUGGCUUGAAUUCGGGAGAGGGAUGCAGAAUUCCAGGUGUAGCGGUGAAAUGCGUAGAUAUCUGGAGGAAUACCGGUGGCGAAGGCGGCAUCCUGGACCGACAUUGACGCUGAGGAGCGAAAGCUAGGGGAGCAAACGGG
rnacentral:rRNA from 1 species